GAGGUUUGCUGUUCUCAGUCAGUGGGAAGGUCACAGUCCUGCAGGCACAGAGCUCUCCCAUCCUCUCCACCACAGACACACACUCCUUCCUUUCUAUCCCUGCCCUACCUAGCUGUUUCCAUCCAUUCAGUGAUUCUCUUCCCUCAUCCAAAGGAGCCUCACUCAGUCUCUUUCUGUUUGGAUUAACCUUCGUCUUUCUGUGAUGCUGUUGCUACGGUGACUGUGCUCGGGGUCUAUUGCUGGUGACGGAGUCAUUAUUUCAACAGCCUGUCAUUGUGUCGAGCGAUGAGGAUCUGAUCAUCUGUUCCCGAAACGGAGGUCCCCCCUACGGUAGACUAGACGAUGUCCACGAUGGUGUACCCAAGGGAAGAGAAGCUAGAGAAGCUGUCCCAGGAGGAGAUAAUCUCCAACACCAAGCUGGUGAUCCAGGGCCUGGAGGCACUGAAGAAUGAGCACAACUCCAUCCUGCACAGCCUGCUGGAGACCAUCAAGUGCCUGAAGAAAGAUGAGGCUAACCUGGUGCACGAGAAGUCCAGCCUUCUGCGCAAGUCUGUGGAGAUGAUCGAGCUGGGCCUUGGAGAAGCACAGGUGAUGAUGGCCCUGUCCAACCACUUAAACGCGGUGGAGUCUGAAAAGCAGAAGCUGCGAGCCCAGGUGCGUCGGCUGUGCCAGGAGAACCAGUGGCUGAGGGACGAGCUGGCCAACACACAGCAGAAGCUGCAGAAGAGUGAACAGAGCGUGGCACAGCUGGAGGAGGAGAAGAAGCACCUGGAGUUCAUGAACCAGCUCAAGAAGUACGAUGAGGACAUCUCACCCACUCAGGAGGAGAAGGACGGCGAGCCACCAAAGGACUCUCUGGAUGAUCUCUUCCCCAACGAUGAAGAGGAGCAAGGCCAAGGCAUGCAGCACCAGCACAACAGUGCUGCGGUGGCCGCAGCCCAACAGGGAGGCUAUGAGAUCCCAGCCCGCCUGAGGACCCUCCACAAUCUGGUGAUCCAGUAUGCCUCCCAGGGGCGCUACGAGGUGGCCGUGCCCCUCUGCAAACAGGCCCUGGAGGACCUGGAGAAGACCUCCGGACACGACCACCCUGAUGUCGCCACCAUGCUCAAUAUACUGGCCCUUGUCUACAGGGAUCAGAACAAAUACAAAGAGGCUGCCCAUCUGCUCAACGACGCUCUGUCCAUCCGGGAGAAGACUCUCGGCAAAGACCACCCUGCUGUUGCUGCUACACUCAACAACCUGGCCGUGCUCUAUGGAAAGAGGGGCAAGUACAAGGAGGCCGAGCCACUGUGCAAGAGAGCUUUGGAGAUAAGAGAAAAGGUGCUGGGCAAGGACCACCCAGAUGUGGCUAAGCAGCUGAACAACCUGGCCCUGCUGUGUCAAAACCAGGGCAAGUAUGAAGAGGUGGAGUACUACUACUGCCGCGCCCUGGAGAUCUAUGAGUGCAGACUGGGUCCCGACGAUGCCAAUGUGGCCAAGACCAAGAACAACCUGGCAUCCUGCUUUCUCAAGCAGGGGAAAUACAAAGAGGCUGAGAUUCUGUACAAAGAGAUUCUGACCCGUGCCCAUGAGAAAGAGUUUGGAUCUGUCGAUGCUGAGAACAAACCCAUCUGGAUGCACGCCGAAGAGAGAGAGGAGAUGAGUAAGGGCAAGCACAGAGACAACACCCCGUACGGCGAGUAUGGCGGCUGGUACAAGGCCUGCAAAGUGAACAGCCCGACAGUGAAUACCACCUUGAGAAACCUGGGAGCUCUGUACCGCCGACAGGGCAAGCUAGAGGCCGCUGAGACCCUGGAGGAGUGUGCCAUGAGGUCCCGCAAGCAGGGCAUAGACCCCAUCCAACAGACACGUGUGGUGGAGAUCUUAAAGGAUGGCGAGGGGGACAGGGAGAGGCGGAGGAGCCGGGACAGUCUGUCCGGUGUCAAGUACGAGAGCGGCUCUGAGACCGUCGAGGAAGCCUAAGCCACAUCAAGAUUAUUCCUCCAUCCUUCUCUCCUCUUCCCCAACAAAUAGUAAAGGAUGUUUUUGUCGAUCCCCUUUGGCCUUCUCUUCUCUCCUACCACCAAAUGAAAAGCUCCUCCUCUGCCGUUCCUGGUGUCCUCGGCGAGACUGCUCCCUGUUGUCACGUCUGUCCCUGUACUGACAACCGUUGGGAUGUUUGGUUUCCUCUUCCCUCUGAUCCCUCUUUCUCUUUUCACCCUUUUCUUUCACUAACCUUGUCUUGCUCCUUCGUCAGAAUUUUCUCUCCCUAUUCCCAUAACAUGAAGUCAUGCCUAUCACAUUCUCCUCUAAAACUCACCAACUCUCCCUCUCCACCUCAGUCUUCUUCUAACAUGCAUCUGUAAUAUUCAACUGUAUUUAGUAAUGGCAUGAUAGAAGGGGUAAGUGUUUGGAAAUACGGUGGCCCGUUGGGAACACAGAGCAAAGCAGAAAUGCCAGAGUGGUUUUGGACAAUGACCUGCAACUGCUUCCAAAACACCAGUCUGUUACCAUGAUAAUGCCUGUCCUUUUGCCUUCACAACGUAGCUGUGGUUUGACUGUCUGCAUCUCACAUCUCCCUUCAGGACUUCACUGUUGCUUUGCAUUGGCCUCAGUCUGUAUUUGUGUUGGAGUGGCUUUGCCUUCUAGAGCGUACACGCACACUCCCAGGACUGUAAGCAGCUGGCAGGUGAAAAUAGUCUGUGAUCAGUCUGCAGUUGAUUAACUUGGUGCCUGUAUCUUAAUAAUAAUUUGCUUCCUUAAAGUUAAUUUCAUCAUUAUGAAGUGUAACCAUAUGCCUGAGCAGUUUUAAAAAGGUACUGUAUUGUAAUAAAUGCGUAUGACUUUGGUAUAUUAGGUUGGCUAACUCUGACAAAAGUGUUUGAUGUUGGGGUUUCAAACUUAUCCUCAUUUUAUAUAUAUUUUUCCUAUUCAUUUUUAAUUUAGUGUGUUUUUCUUCUUAUUUAAAACUUUUAUUAUGCUUGCUUUGUAUUGACUGCCGAAGGCGGCGGUGGUAUGUCAACCUAUUAUACUACCAAUAUGUGGUCUUAUAGUAGCCGCUGCCUGUUUUGUCUUGAUCGACUAAAACACACUGCAGCCUUUUUCAGCCUGUGUCAUACAGCAGCUUUAUAAGCAAACUGUCACCUUCACAAUUUCCCGAGAGCUCAAGUUCUUCUUGGCUAAACUGCUCUCCCUUCUUUGAUGCAUAGCAUUUUACACACUGUAGGCCUAUUGUUUACCGUGCAUCGGUUACAUUUUAAAAAGGGAAUAGUGGCACAUUAUCUGGUUAAAGGCUACUGUAACAGAACCAACAUGUAACGUUGCCAAAACAUCCCUGUCGAAGCAACAGCACAUCUGUUGCCUUCAAAUGAGAUUUUCUAACCUCUUGAGACCCAAGGGCAAGUUAGUGACCACGUGGGCUCUUCAUUGCCUGCUUCAUAUUGCCUUUGAAUGUGUUGUUGAGAUUAUAGGACAUAUUAGUGUUGCCAUUUGAGGAAACGUAUGAAUCAUUGCAUGUGUGUAUUUGUGUGUUUUAAUAUGUUGCCUUCCCUACCCCUUACGUCACACAGUUCAUUACAGGUGAACAUUGUCCAUUUUGACUAGACCUCUUUUUGAACUGCAAAACCCAUAGUCAGUGUUGGUUUAAGAUCAUUAUCGUAAGUGUUUAACUAACUGAAUGUACUAUAAUUUCCAUAUUAUGCGUAAAUGUAGUCAUGAUAUUUAUGGAUUUGAUAAGGCACUCGUCACACAGGCUUUUGAAAUGUCCUUUGCCAUUCCUAGCCAUAAAGCAUAUUUUCAAGAAUGCAAGCAACACUGAAAAAGAGGGAGAGAAACGACAAUGUUCAUCAUGUAAUUCGGACAAUAUUGUUGUUAUAGUGGAAUGCUGAUUUAAUUAUUAAAGUUGUCUGUAAUUGAUGUUCUAUAGUGUGAACUUCUGUUUCCCAGGGCAGAAGUAAACUCCAUGGCAAGCUCUAUAAGCACCAUCUUAGAAUGUAGGACUGCAUAAUAUUUACCAUUUCUUCUUGCAUUGUGAUGAUUGUUGCAUCAAUGCUUGUUGGUAUUCCCAAAUAAAGUUUUUAAUUUGUGAGGUGUCAUUUCUCUCUGCACAUCUUCCUGAUUAUGAACAUUUACGCAGCAGGUUAGUAGAAUUAACUUAGCAGGUUACGUGACUGGGGUUAAGUGUUAGUGAAAAUUCUAUGAAAAUCACUUUAUCGAAAUGCUGUGAAGUGUCCAGUUCAAAAGAUGCUACAAAGUCCUGUGAAUGUCUGGUUUGGAUCCAGGGGGACCUAUUAUGUCUAUUACGUCUGGAUGACGUGAUGCAUGGAUUGACAGGUGGAGCCCACUGUAGACCACUUCUAUAGUGAAAUAACAAACAUUCAUACCUCUUCCACUUGUGUACCUUUUACCUCUAUUCCAUAAAGUUGGCCACUUAAAAAAAAAACGGAAUCCCCUGCCUACAGGAAAUACUAAUUGGCAUCUGCCUAUGCCACAAGCAUAUUCAUGUCAACUUCAAUCUGAAUUUGAAAUGAACAUAACUGAUAACCCAGUAACGCCACGUCUAUUUAAUCAAUGUGGAGUGUGUGGAUUGGGCUGCAGUCUCUUUUUAUUGUGAAAGUGCCUGCCAGCUUAAUGUGGUUUUCUGCAGGUCACCUGAUUUGCGCUGAUUGUAUAAUUUUAAUAUGUGUAUAUGGGGUCCCUGAUGUGUGGUUAUCUUCGUGUUUACUGAUUGGUUUGAUUGUAUAUGUGUACAGUAUGUGUAGGGUCAUUGAUGUGUGGGUGUAUCUACAGGAUGGUAGUGGGGCGCUACAGCGCAGUGUUUCCCUAGGGAAGCUAAGGGACGUCCUGCGUAGAAGCAGCGAGCUACUAGUGAAAAAACUACAGGGCAAUGGACCUCCAGAACCAACCAGAACCAGCACCAACAUGAAGAGAGCUGCCUCCCUGAACUACUUGAACAAGGCCAGUGACCUAGAUGGUUUCCAGGGUCCAGGCAUCAGCAGGCUAAAGGAGAGCCGUGGCCUGAGCUCCAGCACUGUAGAUCUGUACAGCGGAAACUGAGAAAUGAACAACAUACUAGCACAUGUUACUCCUGUUUCAGCCCACCAUAAUAACUACUGCCCCAAAGAAACAUCUACCUACUACACCAAGUCAUCUCCCAGAGCCAGAAGCCCAAAGAUUCAGCGACACCUCGAUCUCUGCUACCACAACCACUUCCCUAAAGACACAUCCAUGUUGCUCUAAAGUCUUCUGAGCCUUGAACCCAAGCCAACCAUGCGGUUGCCUGUUUCUUUCAGAUACUCUGGUCCCAAAGACAUGCCCGCUUCUCCCUCUCAGUAAUCAGGACCUCCUCCCAAAGACCCCCCUGCCACACCCUCCACCGGUGAGGGAAUGUUUUCUGGGCUAGAGGUAUACAGGGCAUGUUGGCUAUGGGACACAUUAAAAACAGGGCAUUUCCUGAAACAGGCGUGUGUCCCUAUAGGCUAUUGGGAUCAGACUGGGAAACUACCCAGCAAGAAACACACCUCUUGUGAAAUGUUUCCUGUAUACCCUUAGUAAAUAACUAUAGGUGUGUGUGUGUACACGGUUUAGUUACAUCUGGAAUCUCUGUUGCCAUUGCUGUGCUUUUCUGUAAUUGCGAUAUGUUAUACAUCUCUGUAAAAUACUUGUUUAAUUGUGCUUAAUCCUACAGUUUUGAUUUAUUAUUCCUGUGCCGCUAUUCCUUGUUUUAACAUUGCAAAUUGUUUUGCAUUUUUACCUUGUAAAACUAAAACGGACCCCCCCCCCCCCCCCCCCAGAUAGAGCGCACUACAUGUUGGUAGGAAAUUGGUUUGCUGUCAUUCUGGCAGGAUUUACAUAACCUUAAGAUUUAUUAACCCUUUAGUUGCCUAUUGAGAUUGCUAGGGAGACAGGGUGUUGGUAGAACGCUUUGGAUAAUAGGGCGAAUAAAAUGAAAUACUGUGUGACUAGUAUAGGAGGGUGUCCUAAAUUGCAUCCUAUUCCCUACAUAGUGCUCCUCUUUUGACCAGGGCCCUCCUAUGGUAGCGUACUAAAUAGAGAAUAGGGUGCCAUUUGGGAAGUAACCAUAGAUAACAGGGUUGAUGUUAAGCACAUUGCUGCCACCCACUGGUGCCAUGGGUGUUCUGAAGUAAGAUGCUUGAAAAGUCACUGAAUUCACCAGAUGGCUCCACCCAGAAUGAGGUCAUUGAAUUUUACUGUCUGAUGUUAUGAUCACCACCAGCAGGCACUCUCUUAAGAUUAUGGUUUAAAUUGGAGUUACUUAGGAUGAUACAUUUCUAAAUGUGUAUAUAUUAUUCUUUUUUUGGGUUGAUAAUUUUGCACAACUCUUGGAUGGGUCUCUAUUUUUUGAUUUACAUUUUACUCAUUUAGCAGACGCUCUUAUCCAGAGCGACAUACAGUAGUAAGUGCGUCAUUUUCAUAUUUUGUUUGUACUGGGCUCCCAUGGAAAUUUAACCCACAACCCUGGUGUUGGAAGUGCCACACUACCAACUGAGCCACAUGGGAUCAACUGUAAUGUAAAGAAAAUCAACAUUGAACAUAAAUGGCAUGUUAUGUGAUUGUAAAGGAGUUGCUUGGCUUGUUGUGUGCUUGGUCAUAUUCACUAGGCACAAAAUGAGAGAAAGCACCUCCCCGUUUGACUGUUAUCUGAAAAUGUACAAAAGGAAACACUUUUUCGUUUGACGUUACACAAAGUCUUGAAACGUUUUGAAACAGUGUGCCCUAAUGAAUACAACCUUGUUCAACACUUUGUUUUUGUUGUCCUUUUAACACUGGUACAUAUUGGGUAUCUGCGUAGUAGUUUGACAGAUAUCUGUUCACACUUUUCAUAAUCGGGGUUUGUGAUUCAUCUUUUGUACUUAAAAGCCAUUCAGGUUCAGCUGAACAACAUGCUGCAAUGCAUCUGCUCUAGUAAGGUUCUGUCUGUCUUGUAUCUAUUUUGGUUCUUACAUGUUAUACUGGAUAUGUCAUCUGUACAUCUGUCUUUUCCACUGUCAGUUCUGCCUUUCUGUCUACCAAUAAAAAUGUGUUCCCCUA